AUUGAACGCUGGCGGCAGGCCUAACACAUGCAAGUCGAGCGGAUGAAGGGAGCUUGCUCCUGGAUUCAGCGGCGGACGGGUGAGUAAUGCCUAGGAAUCUGCCUGGUAGUGGGGGAUAACGUCCGGAAACGGGCGCUAAUACCGCAUACGUCCUGAGGGAGAAAGUGGGGGAUCUUCGGACCUCACGCUAUCAGAUGAGCCUAGGUCGGAUUAGCUAGUUGGUGGGGUAAAGGCCUACCAAGGCGACGAUCCGUAACUGGUCUGAGAGGAUGAUCAGUCACACUGGAACUGAGACACGGUCCAGACUCCUACGGGAGGCAGCAGUGGGGAAUAUUGGACAAUGGGCGAAAACCUGAUCCAGCCAUGCCGCGUGUGUGAAGAAGGUCUUCGGAUUGUAAAGCACUUUAAGUUGGGGGGAAGGGCAGUAAGUUAAUACCUUGCUGUUUUGACGUUACCAACAGAAUAAGCACCGGCUAACUUCGUG
rnacentral:rRNA from 1 species